UGACUGACGCCCUACCUACUCACAGUCCACCUAAAGAAAAAACUGUGCAACAGCAGACAAUUUGCUGGAGGAACUCAGAAGGACUGUGUAUUUUCGAUUCAAUGCUACAGAAGAACCUUGGUAAUCCAAGAUCAUAGAAAAUGAGAAGACGGCUUUCAUAGAAAGAACUUGAAAGAAAAGAAGCAUGAAUCUUGACACAAGCUCAAGAAGUCAUACCAGAUCUGAUAAAUCAGAAGACCCAAAGAAGCAGCAUGCCUGUCAUGAAGAAGAAGAACAAUUUUGGAGUGGAGACAACUACAUCAGUCCUUCAUGGCUGCAAAUUCACAGGCAGAAAAUUAUUACAUUGUUGUAUACUGACAUACAGACCAUUUGUGUCCAUGAGAGUAAAUUACCAAUGUCUAUAUGAGUAAAUUGUUGCCUCAGUUCUCAAAUUUACUUAUUACAAAAUGUGUACUAACCAUGUUUAUCACUCAUGUUCAAAAUGUUGUCAUUAAAAUUAUGUAAGUGCUGUUUACAUUGAAAUUACAAGCUGGUAUUUAUGCAGAU